AAUGCAGAGUGAGAACUUUCUCUACCGUGUUUGAUAAAUGUUGUCCAGGUUCUAUUGCCAAGAAUGUGUUGUCCAAAAUGCCUGUUUAGUUUUUAAAGAUCAACUCCACCCUUUGCUUGGUUUUAAGUAUGUAUGGAAUGUUAUGAUAGGACAUAGUACUAGCGGUGGUCAGACAUGGAAAUGGUGGGGAGACAAAAAUAUACAUGUGAAAUAAAACUCAGUAUUUUAAUAAAGUAAAAAAAAAAAA
rnacentral:lncRNA from 1 species